AGGACGAACGCUGGCGGCGUGCUUAACACAUGCAAGUGGGGCGACGAACCAGGCUUCGGCCUGGGGCAAAGCCGCGAACGGGUGAGUAACACGUGGAUAACCUGCCCCGAAGACCGGGACAACCCGGGGAAACCCGGGCUAAUACCGGAUGUGGUCACCGUCCAUAAGGACGAUGAGCAAAGGAAGCUUCGGCCUCCGCUUCGGGAGGGGUCCGCGGCCCAUUAGCUUGUUGGUGAGGUAACGGCUCACCAAGGCAACGAUGGGUAGCUGGUCUGAGAGGACGAUCAGCCACACUGGGACUGAGACACGGCCCAGACUCCUACGGGAGGCAGCAGUGGGGAAUCUUGCGCAAUGCGCGAAAGCGUGACGCAGCAACGCCGCGUGGGUGAAGAAGGCUUUCGGGUCGUAAAGCCCUUUCAGCAGGACGAAGCUUCGGCAGCGAAUAGCUGUCCGGAGUGACGAGUACCGUGCGAAGAAGACCGACAACCGGACCAACGUACCGAGCCCAAGCCGACGGACCGUACGG
rnacentral:rRNA from 1 species